rnacentral:rRNA from 1 species
AACGAACGCUGGCGGCAGGCUUAACACAUGCAAGUCGAGCGCCUCGCAAGAGGAGCGGCAGACGGGUGAGUAACGCGUGGGAACGUACCCUUAUCUUCGGAAUAGCUCUGGGAAACUGGAAGUAAUACCGAAUGUGCCCUUAGGGGGAAAGAUUUAUCGGAUAAGGAUCGGCCCGCGUUGGAUUAGCUAGUUGGUGGGGUAAAGGCCUACCAAGGCGACGAUCCAUAGCUGGUCUGAGAGGAUGAUCAGCCACAUUGGGACUAAGACACGGCCCAAACUCCUACGGGAGGCAGCAGUGGGGAAUAUUGGACAAUGGGCGCAAGCCUGAUCCAGCCAUGCCGCGUGAGUGAUGAAGGCCUUAGGGUUGUAAAGCUCUUUCACCGGAGAAGAUAAUGACGGUAUCCGGAGAAGAAGCCCCGGCUAACUUCGUG